CCUACGGGAGGCUGCAUUGGGGAAUAUUGGACAAUGGGGGCAACCCUGAUCCAGCCAUGCCGCGUGUGUGAAGAAGGCCCUCGGGUUGUAAAGCACUUUCAGUGAGGAAGAACGCCUGGUGGUUAAUACCCAUCAGGAAAGACAUCACUCACAGAAGAAGCACCGGCUAACUCCGUGCCAGCAGCCGCGGUAAUACGGAGGGUGCGAGCGUUAAUCGGAAUUACUGGGCGUAAAGCGCGCGUAGGUGGCUUGAUAAGCCGGUUGUGAAAGCCCCGGGCUCAACCUGGGAACGGCAUCCGGAACUGUCAAGCUAGAGUGCAGGAGAGGAAGGUAGAAUUCCCGGUGUAGCGGUGAAAUGCGUAGAGAUCGGGAGGAAUACCAGUGGCGAAGGCGGCCUUCUGGACUGACACUGACACUGAGGUGCGAAAGCGUGGGUAGCAAACAGGAUUAGAUACCCUAGUAGUC
rnacentral:rRNA from 1 species